GCAAAGGUAGAGAAACUGCAAAAGUUGUACAAAAAAAGUGAAGAAGAGAAAGAAAAAAGCUCUUCUCCCUCAUUUGUUCUUCACACCAGUGCAUGCCCACGUGCACCUCACAUUUCUGCAGUUAGGUGGAAUUGGAUAAUACAGUGGAAUUAGCCUUUGGGAAUGACCCUGAGCUGCAGUAACACCUGGAAUAAAUGCUCCAAAAUGCAUGCUGAUAGUGAGUUAACUGAGAAGGGUACAGACCUUGUGGGAAACCAGGAGCUUCUUCAGCUGAACCUCACCUGGAAGAAAUAAAAGACAAACAUCACAGAGAAAGGAAAAGUAUCUCAAGCAGAAUAUCCUAGGCAGCUUAACCACAUUUAAUCAGAGACCGAUCCUGUUCACAAGGUGGAAAAUGCUGAUGAAUGAAGAGAUCUUUCCUGAACUCAGUGCUCUGGAGAGAGUUGAAGCCCCCAACACAAGAAGGCAGAAUGAGAGAAAGAAGUAUCAAUUGUAAAAGUGGGAGUGAAAAGAGGUGCAUGUGGAGCCACAAGAAGAUAGUAUACUCAUGAUUUCAGGUUUUGUAAGGCAUUAAACAUUCAACAAAGAGACCUUGGAAUCUCUCCAAGGUGUUUUGUCACCACUUUUUUUUUUUUUUCCGUUUUUUCUGCUUACCAAUAGGUCAUCAGAACAUGGCACAGUAUUUUUUGCAUCAACUACAAGGGAAGGCUAAGAAAGAUUAGUACACAUUUGUGCUGAUGUAUAUGAGCAAGCAACAUACUGUGCUGGUUUUGUUUGUGUGAUGCCAAAUGUCCUAAGCAUGACUGUUCUUGUUGCUCAAUAAAGUUCCUGAGAAUAGCAUGAUUUGUCUAACAAAACUGAUGCCACUCCUGUUUUCCUGGGAUCUAUUUGACUUCUAUAUGAGUUUUAAAUCAACUGUUAACAUAAUUUAUUCACUAAAUAGCUCAAAAUAAAAAUAAGUUU